AAUGGUCAGAGGAGCCAAGAGAGAACCAGUCAUGGAACGUUGUGUGGCCAAAACCAGUCAUGGGACCAAAUUGGGUCGAUGUCUUAGCCAUUGGAGUGAAGAUGGGCUAUAUGAUAAGAGAGAUGGGGAAGACAUCUGAAAAUGUCCUUAGUUGUAAGGCUUAAAGAAUAAGUUAUGGACUUUCCAGCUGGUGGCUCAAGAUUAUGGUCCCUUUGAUGAUCAGAUACUUAUAAAAGGAACACUAGCUGUUUUAGCUGUUUAUUAAAAAGUGUGUGUGUGUGUGUGUGUGUGUGUCUUGGAAACUUGGGGAAAUAUAUGCCAAACUUAAAGAUUUAAUAAAAAUAAAUAUCAUUUACCAAUAUUUUUGUCUUAUUUCUUCUUAGCUGUUUUUAAAAGUUCUAAGCCAAUAAACCACCUCAAUUAUUACAAAACAAAGAAAUACCUUAGAAUAAGUGACCAGAGUAUUGUCUUGAAAACCAGAAAUAUUGAUCAAGAAAGGACUAUGUGAGGUGAGUCCAACACACAGUACCGUGAUGUGUGAUGUCCAGAAGAACAGAAGAUGCCAGGAGACUCCAGAUACAGCAAUGACAAAGAGCAGUCCUGCACCCAACGUUAUCAAACCUUCUAAUUCAAUCAUUAGGAAGUCACCAUCCUCAGUGGGGACCUUUCUCAGACAAUCUAUUCUUCCACCGUUCUUGAGCAACCAAGAUAUUAAAAAGGAAGACUUGAAGUUUCUAUGCUGCUUGACCCAGAAGUUUCUCAUUAUGGAUGUGGGGUUCUUACUUUUGAAGGUUGGUCUCUCUGCUUUUGUCUCCAUUACCAUUACAUUGUCUCUAUUCAUGCCAGCUCCAGGCUGUGUGUCUCUAGACACGAAGUCACAUUCAUUCUCCUUAGCAGUACAUCCCAUUCCACGGAAUACUGUGGAGUCAACAGGACUGGCUGGAGUUUGGAUGUGGUGGCUAAGAGCAGAGACCUGGAGUCUUUCAUGUACCCUGAGCUUCAGAGACCCCUGUAACCAUGUUUCUUUUCAGAUUAACCCCAGUUCCUUAACUCAUGCAGCUGCACCAUCAGCAAUGCCUCUCUCUCCAUCCCUGCUUCCUCCUAUCUAGCUUUUUUCAAGAUCCUACCCAGGGCUACAUCUUCCGUGGAAGUUUCCCUGAUUCCCUCAGCCAAAGUGAUCUCUCAUAUAAUCAUCAUGCUCUCUUGAUUGCAUCAGAAUGAAACACAGCUCAAAUGGGGUUUAAACAAAGAGAAUUGGAGCUCAAUUAAUUUAGAAGUUCACAAAUAAGUUGGACCCACAGACUAAAAGAUAUCAGGAAGCAUUACUUUGUUUUCUCAGUGAUCCUACCAAAAGAUCCAAGAUAUGACUAGCCUAACCUGGGUCAUUUGCCCAACACGGAAUCAGUCAUUGUAGCCACUGAGGUUAGAAUCCACUGAUUGGCCAAUCUCAGAUUGCACACUUGGUCCCCAAGAGACCAAUCUGGUCAUAGUGAACAGCUAUGUGGUGUGUGAAAAAGGGGUGUUCCUUGAAUGUAUUCAUUAAAAGUGCUAUGAAUUGAAGAGGGAGAAUGAAUACUGGGCAAGCAAAAACAUGUGUUCCUGUCAACUUGUAAUCUGUACAGUGAGAACAACAACUUCUAAAUAUAUUUUCUUGUGUUAAUACUUUACCUAUGUGCUAUGGUUUGUAUGUUUGCAUCCAACAAAUCUCAUGUUGAAAUUUAAUCCCCAAUGCGGUGGUGUUGAGAUGCAAAGCCUAGUGGGAAGUAUAUGUGUCAUGGAGGCAGAGCCUGCAUGAAUAGAUUAGUGCCCUUCCUUGGGGGUGAGUGAGUUUCCACUCUAUUAGUUCCCUAGAGAGAUGAUUGUUGAAAGAGCCUAGCACCUCCCUGCUCCCUGCUUCCUCUCCAGCCAUGUCAUCUCUGCACAGCCGGUCCCUUUUCCCUUCUGCCAUGAGUGGAAGCAGCCUGAAGUCCUCACCAGAAGAUGUCAGUGCAUGCUUCCUGUACAGUCUGCAGAACUGUGAGAUAAAUAAACCUCUUUUUUAAAAAAAUAAAUUACCCACCCUUGGGCAUUCUUUUAUAGUAACAAAAAAGGACUUAGAUACUAUGUGAGAAUGAAUCAUUCACAAUGCAAUUGUCAGACAAGUGAGAUUAACAUUUCAAUUCUCAAGUUAUCCGAUUGUUCUACGUUUUCCAGGCUUUGUCAUGACUUGUUCACUC
rnacentral:lncRNA from 1 species